UACGUAGGGGGCAAGCGUUGUCCGGAAUCAUUGGGCGUAAAGCGCGUGUAGGCGGCUCGGUAAGUCUGCUGUGAAAGUCCAGGGCUCAACCCUGGGAUGCCGGUGGAUACUGUCGAGCUCGAGUCCGGAAGAGGCGAGUGGAAUUCCUGGUGUAGCGGUGAAAUGCGCAGAUAUCAGGAGGAACACCAAUUGCGAAGGGCAGCUCGCUGGGACGUUACUGGCGCUGAGACGCGAAAGCGUGGGGAGCAAACAG
rnacentral:rRNA from 1 species